GACGAACGCUGGCGGCGUGCCUAAUACAUGCAAGUCGAGCGAAUCUCGAGGAGCUUGCUCCUUGAGAUUAGCGGCGGACGGGUGGGUAACACGUGGGCAACCUGCCUGUAAGACUGGGAUAACACCGGGAAGCCGGUGCUAAUACCGGAUAAUUCUUCUCCUCACAUGAGGGGAAGCUGAAAGUCGGUUUCGGCUGACACUUACAGAUGGGCCCGCGGCGCAUUAGCUAGUUGGUGAGGUAACGGCUCACCAAGGCGACGAUGCGUAGCCGACCUGAGAGGGUGAUCGGCCACACUGGGACUGAGACACGGCCCAGACUCCUACGGGAGGCAGCAGUAGGGAAUCUUCCGCAAUGACGAAAGUCUGACGGAGCAACGCCGCGUGAGUGAUGAAGGCCUUCGGGCCGUAAAACUCUGUUGUUAGGGAAGAACAAGUAUCGGAGUAACUGCCGGUACCUUGACGGUACCUAACCAGAAAGCCACGGCUAACUACGUGCCAGCCGCCGCCGUAA
rnacentral:rRNA from 1 species